rnacentral:rRNA from 1 species
UUGGUUGUCGCAUGAAGUUUUGUCUAUGUAUUGAUAAUGACAGUAUGUAUAAACAGUCUUGACCAAUUACGUGCCAGCAGUCGCGGUAAUACGUAAGAGACAAGUGUUAUUCAUCUUAAGUAGGUUUAAAGGGUACCUAGACAGCCAAAAUGACUUAUAUUAGUAGUAUUUGGCUAGAGUUUUAUAUAAGAAGUACAGUACUUUUAAGUGGAGAGUCGAUAUUCUGUGAUACUCUAAGGACUGGUAAAGGCGAAGGCAGUCUUCUAUGUAAAAACUGACGUUGAGGGACGAAGGCUUAGGUAACGAACAGGAUUAGAUACCCUAGUAGUCUUUGCAGAGAAUAAUGAAUGCCAUAGAUUAGAUAUAUUUUGGUCUAUAAAUGAAAGUGUAAGCAUUUCACCUCAAGAGUAAAGUGGCAACACCGGAACUGAAAUCACUAGACCGUUUCUGACACCAGUAGUGAAGUAUGUUGUUUAAUUCGAUAAUCCNCGAAAAACCUUACCACAAUUUGAAUACUUAAUAGUAAAUUAAGAUACAGGUGUUGCACGGCUGUUUUCAGUUAAUGUUGUGAAACUGUGGUUCUUCAUGUAAUUAACGUAAUCCUUACCUCUAUUUAUAAAAUUUAUGAUAGAGCAUUUUUUUCUGCAUACUGGAAAUAAUAAAGA